CAUGAACUCAAAAGAUAUAUCUCGCAUCGUCAGCUCGACCCAGUUUGCACGUUUGGUAAAGCUCUUGGAAGAGGACAGAGUCUCUGAUAAAAUUGUCCUUGGAGGUCAAACAGAUGAGAAGCAAUUGUAAGAAUUACUGCAGCACCAUGGUAUAACUAGGAUGCAUAACUGUUACAUAGAUUAUCCUUAAUAUGUAUGUAUUUGAUGCAGAAAAAUAGCUCCAACUAUCUUGUUGGAUAUUCCAGAAGACACUCAGAUAAUGAAUGAGGAGAUAUUUGGGCCACUAAU
rnacentral:lncRNA from 1 species